rnacentral:rRNA from 1 species
UACGGGGGGGGCAAGCGUUGUUCGGAAUUACUGGGCGUAAAGGGCUCGUAGGUGGCCAACUAAGUCAUACGUGAAAUCCCUCGGCUUAACCGGGGAACUGCGUCUGAUACUGGAUGGCUUGAGGUUGGGAGAGGGAUGCGGAAUUCCAGGUGUGGCGGUGAAAUGCGUAGAUAUCUGGAGGAACACCGGUGGCGAAGGCGGCAUCCUGGACCAAUUCUGACACUGAGGAGCGAAAGCCAGGGGAGCAAACGGG